GCGACUUAGAGGCAGCCCUGAACCCAUGACGUAUAAUUCGGACGCCGAUGCAGAAAGGACUCAGGCCUUUUUAUUUAUUUAUUUAUUGACGUCCGGUUCAGUCACCUCCAGGUUGAGCCGGGCUGGAGGAAGAGUGUGUAACUUUCCAGGAGAGAACCACUGGGAGGAGUGUGAACAUUAUACUCCCAUCCAAAAUGAAAAAAAAGAAAACCUCGACAUGGAUGAAUCUGGAGAACAUCAUCCUCAGCAAACUGACACAAGAACAGAAAACGAAACACCGCAUAUUCUCACUCAUAGGUGGGUGAUGAAAAAUGAGAACACAUGGACACAGA
rnacentral:lncRNA from 13 species